UAUCGACUGUUGAGGGAACAAUAUCUGCAUUUUCUACACCCGCCUUCCGCACAAGAUACAUUCGCAGGAGCUUCUUGGGCAGGGUGGGAACUUACAUGCGAAGUGUUAUGCCUCUACAAAAUUUCCCAGGUAUAAUCCCUAGUAUCUGACAUCCGCCCCUCCCCUACACCUGAGCACGCCUUCACGUGUGCGCCAGCAAUUUCCAAAUCAACAAGUGACCUGAAUGUGGGGCCAUAAAAAUAGCAGACUGCAGCAGAGAACACGGAGCUGGAGCUGGAAGACACAGGGAAUCUUAUCGUUUACGACUCUUUCUCCUGAUGAACGGACAAGGGACUGGAAACCUUCAACUUAAAGCCUCUGUACAAAAAGCUCUUUUUUAAAAAAAAGGCUUCCUUCCUGUUAGCAGGACAAUCUCCACAGUACAACGUGUUGUCAUGUUGGUGGUCUGGCCCAAUCGACAUGGAAUGUGUUUCUGUUUUUAUUCUGUGAUUUGCUCUUACUCUGUGAUUUUACCUGCCUGUACAGCACUUUGGUCAAUGUGGGUUGUAUUUAAACGUGCUUUAUAAAUAAAUUUGAUUUGAUUGAUUUGAACAAGUGGCCUGAUUAUGGCCAAACCCUGCUGUUAACUGGGUAAACAGCAGUGUAUGCAGUAAUGCAAGCAUAGAAAUAAACUGGGCCUUA